GAAAAGACGCGUGUAAACAUCGCGUAAAGCUGCGGAUGGGACGAUGAGGAGCUGCUGGCAGUAUAACUUGCUCAAAUUUGUGCAUCUUUGCAAACUGUCAUCAGGAACAAGAUCCAUCACCAAAUAUCUGCUCCUUCUUAAAGUGACAAACAAAUUUGUUGUGUAAAAAGCUGKACGUUAAAUUCAUGUUUUAUUGUYGUUGUUGCAUGAUUUCAUACAGAAAAUCUGUAUUUAAAAAGAAACAGACUUUAAUUCCAGUACAUUUAUUCAGAAGGAAAAAUGUUUUUAAUGUUUUAUUCCAGAAUAAUUCUUAAGAAUCUGACAGUAAAAACAAGCAAAAAACUGCUUUUUAUUUCAGGAUAUUUAGUCACUUGGGGAAGAAAGACUGUGUAACAAAACCAUUAUGGUUUUUAAAAUAGCACCUAUUAGUCGUUCCUCUAACAUUUGACAAGGAGGAAGCAGACAAAGAGACGAUUGCUCUUCUUUGCUAUCCUAUUUUYAAGCUCACCCUCUAAACACACAAGAAGCAUUCAUUUUGGAUAAUUUUUCUGUUAUUUUGAUCAUAUGUUUUGAUUUAUUAUCCUGCCAAAAGACUCAUUAUGACCAAUUUUAAAUUUACUGAUUGAAGCCAAGCUAUUAUUUAAGAUGAUCUUAUAUUUCAUCUACAUGGUGGAUCAGUUGGCAGAACUGUUCAGAGUUGGAUAGUAACUGGAUACUCAGUUACAUUUACUUGUSUAACUUUUAAAAAAAAACUUUUAGGAGUAGUUACACAUUUUUACUUACUUAAGUAAUAUUAUAAUUAAUAAUUCCUAACCUUACUUGAGUAAAAUUUGGGUUACUCUACUCACUGAGAGUAACGUCUGAAUGAAGAACAAACACGAUUUGAGCAAAAAUACACCACACAUACCUAAAAUUUGUUGAAGUGAGACCUCUUGUUUCUACACAAGCUUUGUUAUUCUGAUGUAAUUUUCUGUCUGCUGAGCUUGUUGCUGCAUUUAGAGGUCAAAUAAAUAUCUGAUAAACACCA